AAGGCAAUACUGUUGACUUUGCACGUGGGCCAGAUGAACUUAGAACUCUUUACCUAGCUGCAGAGUCCCAGGAGCCUACAGGCACUUGGUUUGUCGGCACUUGCCACUGGCAGGGGCAAGAUCUUUGCAUUAUUGCUUAGGCUAUUGGGGUGUUUCUCUUUGGAGUUUAUAUACAAACACACCCAAGGCUGAUGUUUUAUAUAUAUAUAUAUGUACAUGCAUGAAGGCCCACUACUCUUUCUUUGUGGAAACUGACAGUUCUACCUCAGGAAGCUGGAUACCAACCUUGGUCCCACUGUCGUUGCUAGAGGAGGAAGACAGUCGGGACUUCUUCGAGGCCAAGGACACGCCACUCCCCUGUAACUUGCCUGCCUCAUCAUCACUCCCAGUAACCUCAUAAUGACCUUUGCUCUUUGAUCCCAAGCCACCAAAGGUACCAAACUUCAGCUUUCCAUGCUUGCCUUUAGCGUCUCCACCUGCAAACUCCAAAGUCCCAGUUGGGGUGGAAGGCGCUGAGAACUCCCUCUCAUCACUGAAGGAGUUGGAGCGGUGUCGUGGCUUCUUACUUUUAAAUAGGGAGAAUUUGCCUUUGGGUGAAGAUGCUUCCGCUUCCACUUCUCCUUCCAGGGAGCCCAAGCUGGCCUUUGAGCUCUUCAGGUCCCCUUUGGACCCAGAAAUGGAUGCUUCAGGUGAGCCAGUGACACCACCUUUUCCUUUAGAUUUAGAAAAGAUAUGCUUGGGCAUUUUGAUUUUGGAUUUUUUCAGUUUUACUUCAGACUCUUCCCACUUGCCUUCUCCAGCACCAGCCUGCACAUUGGCCUCCACUUUAGGGAAGUUGACAUCCACUCCUACUUCUCUACCGAUGAGCUCGCGGCCAGAGAAGGUAAACUUAGGGAUCUUCAUCUUGGGGAAUGUUACUUUUCCAGAUUCACUUUCCAAGUGACCUUGAGGCCCAGACACACUCAGCCCGGGACCCUGGAGUCCGGUCUGGCCCCCUUUCACGUCUCCUUCUAUCUUUGGUCCUGAGAAAUGAAGGUUCCCAGCAAGUUUAGAUGUAUCCAAGUUUAGAGAAGAGGAGACUUGGGGUCCCUUCCACUCAACUCCAGAGCCUUUGACACUCAUAUGCCCUUCACCCAGGUUGAUAUCUGGGACACUGACACCCCCUGAAACAUCUACACCUCCUUUGACUUUGGGGCCCUUCAAGCUGACACCAAAAUCUGACUCAGGAGAUGCCACAUUAAAGGAAGGCCCCUUGACACCGAUAUCAGGAACAGCUCCAUGGAGACCUAGUCCUGAACCUUUCAGAUCUCCUUUAAUUUCGGGACCAGAAAUCUGCCCUGAUGAGAGUUUCACAUCACACCCAGAAGCCUUAAUUCCAGGCAUUUGGAGGUUUCCUUCUGGGCCUUGAAUGCUGAUGCCUGGAAGAGCUCCCCCAAUCGCUGGGCCUUUCAAUUCACCCGCAGCCCCGAGGCUCCCCUUCACUUUUGGUCCUUCCAAGUUAAAGUCCAUGCUUGGUGCUGAGAUCUGAGGCCCUUUCAGAUUCACAUCCAUCCCUGAUCCCUUUAGUUCUCCACAAACUUGUGGCCCCUUGAUGUUAAUGUCCAAGUCGGAUCCCGGAGUGGAGAUGCCAAACUGAGGCAGUUUCAUGUGGGGAAGUUUGACAGCACCUUCUGAAGCCUCCAAGCUAACAUCAGGAGUAGCCACAGACACUUUAGGACAUUUGAUGUCUCCAGACACAGCCAGAUCUCCCUGUAGACUUGGUCCCUUCAGUGUUACAUCUGGUGCCCCAACACUGAGUGCUGUUGUGGCAUCAAUCCCUGACAUUUUCACACCAUCUGCUCCUAUAUGUACUUUUCCACCAACACCUUUGAGGUCAAGACCUGGGGCGUGCAGCUUCAUGCUGGGACUGGAGGCACCCAGGUCUCCCUUCAAACUUGGUCCUUUCAAGUUCAUGUCAAGAUCAGGCCCAGACACUUUUGGCAUAGAGAGGUCCACCGAAGGCAAGUCUACUCCUGGGCCUUUUAGAGACAGAUGAGGCCCUUCAAGCUUCAUAUCUGAUGUGCUCAACCCUCCUUCAAGAGAGGGCAUCUGAGCGCCGAUCUCAGUGCUCCCACCUUCCAUUUUCACACCUGGGGCACUGAUCUUGGGCAAGGAAAACUUAGGGAACUUGAUUUUCCCUUCUGGACCUUGUAGAUCUAUGUUAGGUCCUUCCAGUCCCACACUGGGAACAUCACCUUUUAUCUUUGGUCCUUUCAAAUUAACAUUCACAUCGGGUAUGGAGACUUGAGGAGCAGAAACACUAAAAGAGGGUGCUUUGAUUUUAGCUUCAGGGCCUUCGAUGUUGAUGUCAGGUGUGUCCAAGUUUGCCUGCACCUUGGGACCUUUCAAGUUGCCCUCUAUCUUUGGCCCUGAGGCUUCCACGCCUGGCACCUUGAACUUGGGAGCCUUCAUAUGAAUAUCAGGAGCUUCCACAUUAAUCCCUGGUGAAGAAAUAUCCACAUCUGGUACCUUGAUUUCACCCUCCAGCUUGGGGCUAGGUAGGGGAGCCUCUGCUUUAAAUUUAGGUGACUUAAUGUCAAAUUCUACAUCUGGAAAGUACAUUUUUCCAAACAUAGUUUUCUUGACUUUGGGAGAUUUUACUUCAGCUUUGAGUGCAGCAUCAGGCCCUGCAACACUAACAUCUACAUCAGGAGCUUUGAGACUGGUAUCAAUCUCACCUCCAGGAAUAUUCAAAUCAAAUCCCUGUUUUUUGGCUUUAACUUUAGGACCACUCAUGUGAAUUUUAGGCAUUUUAAACUUGCUUUUCUUGCUCUUGCCACCAAUGUUUAUUUCAGGAGAAUCAACAUUCAGCUCUGCUUCAGGGACAGUCACAUCAACUGUGGGUGUCUUGAUGUCAGCUUUGGGGCUUUUUGCACCAAAUCCAAACUUGGGUUUCUUAAAUUUCGGAACUUUAACAUCCGGCCCCUCAAUAUUAAUAUCAGGGCUUUCCAUGUGGACAUCUAAGCUUGGAGUUUCUAAAUCAACUUUAGGCCCCUUGAGGUCUACCUCACCACCUCCUAACUUAGGCGCAGAAAUUCCAACUUUCGGUGUCUUAAGGUGCACAUUAGCAUCAGGCCCAGUUAUUUUAGGAACAGAUACCUCCAGCGAUGGCAUCUUCAAGUUAGGCCCACUAAGUUUAGCAUCAGGGCCUUCAAAAUCCAGACCUGGACCUUUCAUAUCUAUUUCAGGUCCUUUGAGAGUACCUUCAAUCUUAGGGACAGACCCAUCAAAGGCUCCUUUUACUUUGGGUCCUUUUAACUCCAGAUCAACAUCAGGCAUAGAGAUCUUGGGAGCCUUGAUGUUAAUCUCAGGCAUCCUGAAUUUGGGACCUUUUACUUUCAUAUCUGGACCCUCAACAUUAACAUCUGGAACAUCAAUGUCCACCUUGGGUCCUGAAACAUCAAGGUCAGCCUUGGGCAGAUUUACAUCCACUUCUGGGCCCUCUCCUUUGAAGCCAGGCAUGCUGAACUUGGGCAUUUUCACCUUGGGCAUCUUCAGGUGCCAGUCUGGGCCAUGAACAUCCACAUCUGGAACAUCAAUGUCCACUUUGGGGCCUUUGAUGUCAACUUCAGGAACUUUAAUCUCACCUUCCACUUUAGGCAGAGACACAUCCACAUCACCCUUCACUUUGGGGCCUUUCAGGUUUAAGUCAAUAUCAGGCAUGGAGAUCUUGGGAGCCUUGAUGUUCAUCUCAGGCAUCUUGAACUUGGGGCCCUUCAGUUUUGCAUCUGGCCCUUCAAUGUUCACAUCAGGAACAUCAAUGUCCACCUUGGGUCCUGAGACAUCAAUGUUAGCCUUAGGCAGGCUCACAUCCACUUCUGGGCCCUCUCCUUUGAAGCCAGGCAUGCUGAACUUGGGCAUUUUCACCUUGGGCAUCUUCAGGUGCCAGUCUGGGCCAUGAACAUCCACAUCUGGGGCACUGAUGUCCACUUUGGGACCUUUGAUAUCAACUUCAGGACCUUUGAGGUCUCCUUCCACUUUUGGUAGAGAAACAUCUACAUCACCCUUCACCUUUGGCCCUUUCAGGUUCAGGUCAACUUCUGGCAUUGAAAUCUUGGGUGCCUUGAGGUGUAGAUCAGGCAUUUUAAAUUUAGGGCCCUUCAGUUUCCCUUCUGGACCAUGAAUGUCAAUAUCAGGAGUGUCAAUGUCCAGUUUAGGGCCUUUGAUAUCCACUUUGGGACCUUUCAAGUCCCCUUCUGGUUUAGGAAUAGAAAUGUCCAAAUCUCCUUUUAUCUUAGGCCCUUUCACAUUCAAAUCAAUGUCACUCAUUGAGAUUUGUGGAGUUUUGAAUUGGACAUCUGGCACCUUAAAUUUGGGGCCUUUGAGUUUUCCUUCAGGACCCUCAAUGUCUAUUUCUGGCCCUUUAAGAUCACCUUCAACAUUAGGGAGUGCAAGGUCCACAUCUCCCUUAACUUUAGGUCCUUUUAGAUUUAAAUCAAAGUCAGGCAUGGAGAUCUUGGGAGCUUUGAUAUGCAUGUCUGGCAUUUUAAAUUUGGGUCCUUUUAAUUUUCCUUCUGGAACUUCAAUAUUGACAUCAGGAGUGUCAAUAUCCACAGUGGGGCACUUUAUAUCAAUACCAGGACCCUUUAAUUCACCUUCCAUUUUAGGCAAGGAAGCAUCCACAUCACCCUUCACUUUGGGACCUUUCAGAUGCAAAUCAAAGUCAGGCAUAGAGAUCUUGGGAGCUUUUAUGUUCAUCUCAGGCAUCUUGAACUUGGGACCCUUCAGCUUUGCAUCUGGUCCUUCAAUGUUCACAUCAGGAACAUCAAUGUCCACUUUAGGCCCUGAGACAUCAAUGUCAGCCUUGGGCAGAUUUACAUCCACUUCUGGGCCCUCUGCUUUGAAGCCAGGCAUGCUGAACUUAGGCAUUUUCAUCUUGGGCAUCUUCAGGUGCCAAUCUGGGCCAUGAACAUCCAUAUCUGGGGCACUGAUGUCCACUUUGGGACCUUUGAUAUCAACUUCAGGGCCUUUGAGGUCUCCUUCCACUUUAGGUAAAGAAACAUCUACAUCACCCUUCAACUUUGGUCCUUUCAGGUUCAGGUCAAUUUCUGGCAUUGAAAUCUUGGGUGCCUUAAGGUGGAGAUCAGGCAUUUUAAACUUAGGGCCCUUCAGUUUCCCUUCUGGUCCUUCAAUAUUAACAUUAGGGCCUUCAAUGUCCACCUUGGGUCCUGAGACAUCAAGGUCAGCCUUGGGCAGAUUUACAUCCACUUCUGGACCUUCUCCUUUGAAGCCAGGCAUGCUGAACUUAGGCAUUUUCACCUUAGGCAUCUUCAAGUGCCAGUCAGGACCAUGUACAUCAACAUCGGGGGCACUGAUGUCCAUUUUGGGACCUUUGAUGUCAACCUCUGGGCCUUUGAGAUCACCUUCCACUUUGGGCAGGGAAACAUCUACAUCACCCUUCACUUUGGGACCCUUAAGAUGUAAAUCUGGCAUGGAGAUCUUUGGAGCCUUGAUGUUCAUCUCAGGCAUCUUGAACUUAGGACCCUUCAGCUUUGCAUCUGGACCUUCAAUAUUCACAUCAGGAACAUCAAUGUCCACCUUGGGUCCUGAGACAUCAAGGUCAGCCUUGGGCAGGUUCACAUCUACUUCAGGGCCUUCUCCCUUGAAGCCAGGCAUGCUGAACUUGGGCAUUUUCACCUUGGGCAUCUUCAAGUGCCAGUCUGGGCCAUGAACAUCCACAUCUGGAACAUCAAUGUCCACUUUGGGGCCUUUGAUGUCAACUUCAGGGACUUUAAUCUCACCUUCCACUUUGGGCAGAGACAUAUCCACAUCACCCUUCACUUUGGGGCCUUUCAGGUUUAAGUCAAUGUCAGGCAUGGAGAUCUUGGGGGCCUUGAUGUUCAUCUCAGGUUUAAGUCAAUAUCAGGCAUGGAGAUCUUAGGGGCUUUGAUGUUCAUCUCAGGCAUCUUAAAUUUGGGGCCUUUUAAGCUUCCCUCUGGACAUUCUACAUUGAGUUCUGGGCCCUCAAUAUUCAUACUGGGACCUUCUAUAUUAAUGUCUCCUU
rnacentral:lncRNA from 1 species